rnacentral:lncRNA from 1 species
ACCUGUAAAAGUUGCCACAUUAAACUCGUUGGGAAUGCAAAGA